GCUGGGUAUCGGGUCCUUCGUUUUGGUGAGUUGUUGUCUGAGAGUGGCUGUUGGUUUGUGUGCUGUUAUGAGUACUAGUGGUCGCAGUUGUCUGGCUGUCAGUUCAAAAAUGUUCUUGAUGU